CCACAAACUGCCCCUACUACAACGAGUACUUUGUCUUCGACUUCCACGUCCCCCCCGACGUCAUGUUCGACAAGAUCAUCAAGCUGUCCGUGAUCCACUCGAAGAACCUCCUGCGCAGCGGGACACUCGUGGGAUCCUUCAAGAUGGACGUGGGGACCGUUUAUUCCCAGCCCG